rnacentral:lncRNA from 1 species
CUGUUCGUCAAGGAACAAGGAUGCCUGAGGCACUUCUCACAGGCUGUGCGCUGAUGUAGGCUCUGGAGAUACCGAGACAUGGACUGACUCUCCUGGCUGUGGACCUCAGGAUCCUGGCAGGUCCAUUGGUAUAGUGGAUUUUUGGAAGAGCUGAAGGGAAUGAAAAUGUCCAGGUCCUGGCUCCCGGACGUUGGGUGUCUGCAUGAUCCUUCAGUGGUGAACGCACCAUACCGCAAAUGUGACAGCUUUGAUUACUAGGUCAAAACGUCCCUCAGCUUUUCCAUUAGAAACCCAGCUCCCCACAAGUGUGCCACGAUCAAGAACUUGGCAAACAAGGUCCCAUCCAGGAGCCACUCGUCUUGUGCAACUGCAACAUCAUCAUUAGGUGCAAUUAUUCUAAAUUGGAGAAUGAGCAGAAUUGUAAAUGUUAUGGUAAUGAUAUCUGAUGUUUGCUUCACUCUGUUUUUAUUUUUCAUAUAUAAUUUACUUGUUAAAAAAAGAGAACUCUCUAGCUAAUGCACUCUAGGAGAAUCAACUGAAAUACUGGAUAAUACAGGUUAAAAUAGGUACACAUUUUUUGUGUUCAUGUACCUGUGGCCAGUGCUCUGAGUUAAGGUCUCUUGACCCCACUCCCCUGCACAAUAAGUGGAAAUCCAGGGGCUUAGAGGAACCAGGGCUCAGCAGUUUUUGUUUCCUAACUGACCUAAGUUUUAUUUCCUAAUGUGAAAAAAUGGUACACUUGCUUUGUUGUAACUCAGAGUAAGUAAAAGACACAAUUUGAUGGGCUUCUGUAGCCACUGCAAUGGGAAAUAUUUGUUUUUAUUGAGUGAGUUCACCCUAAUCUCAGCUCUCACAUGUCCACACCCAUGCUCACACACCAAAUGGGAUUCAACACUGUGUAAGAGAUACCUUCUGUACCUUUUGUGUAUUAAACAUUUCUAUUAAGUACUGAAUAAAAGGGAACCCCACUUGCCUUACCAAGGCUUUAUCUACUGGGAAAUCAAAAAGACUUGGAGAAUAAGAAUAUAACUUAUGUAUCCUGUGUACUUGGGCAGCAAGGCUUUGGCACCUGAAACGCCUGGUACAAGACCCGGGGAAGCCUCAGUUUCCUCAUCUGUAAAGCAGAGGCAGCCGUACUUGGUGUGCUGGUUGUCACUCUGCUUCCUCCUUCAGAUCCCUUUCCAUCCUUCUCUGCCCUAUGCUUUGAUGAGGCUGACCUCUAGGGCUGGUGUUGUCUGGACCCUCCUGCCUAUAACUUUGUUUGGAUUCAGCUGGUGGGAAGUAGUGUCAGGGGACUGGAGACAGUGGGGUUAUUCCCCACCUUCCCUGCUUGCUGGACCGCGGCUGUGAUCUUCCACUGAGGGACCAGGGCUCUCUCUGAGGCCAUUGCCUUCAAAUUCUGGUGACACUAUCCCCUCCACUUGGCCGUUUAGAUCUUGUCCCUGAGUGUUCCAUUCACCCCUUUUUGUUUCCUUAAUCCUAAUGCCAGCUUUGUAUAUUGUUCCCUCAUCAUGUCUCUUUAACCACCCCUGUGAUUUCUUGCGAGUGCCAACUGAUAUACGUGGCUUGCAGGAUUAAGAUUAGGAUUAAGUAAAUGAAGGCGUGUAAAUUAUUUAGCACUUUACCUGGUUUGCAGAAGUUUCCUAUACUUAGUAGGAAUUUAGUAAGAGUUAGUUCCUUUCCCAUAAUAUAAAAUAGCAAGUACAACAAAAAGACAGGACCACUUUUGAACAUUUAAUAUUUUAGGUUAAAAUCUGUUAGUUUUUUGAUCUUGCAUAAAAUAUCACAGGCUUAAGAGGUGAAAGUUUCUCCAUGAUGCGAUUCAAAACUGUUUCAAAAAAUAAUCAAAGAGCGCUCUAAAUUAAAGCAACAGCAACAAAACACUCAUACUCUUUUCCCACCUACUCUCAGAAGCUUUAGCACAUCUAAGGGUGUGACCUUUGAUACUGUAGCGAAAAGAACACUGAAUAUAAAGUUUGGAAACCUAUUUUCCAGUUCUUUCUUGAGAUUUGCUAGGAAUUCAUGAAAUGAUCUCAAAGUUCCUUUUCAGCUCUAAAAUGAUAUGAGUUAGACACAAUUUCAUGAAAUUCCUGUAAAUUCAAGGUGGUCUGGAGUAUUGGGGGGAAGCAGACUUCUUGGAGGUGGUAAGAUUUGAACCAGACUUUGAAGCAUGGUGUGAUUUGGAAAAGCAGAGGGCAGAGCAGAGCUGCCCCUCAAAUGUGGGCUCUGAGGGUCGAGAGUGGGGAAGGACAUUAUCAGUUCGAUAUCACGAUAAUGUUUAUGUCACAAAACAAGGUCGACACUCUUCCCACUUUUGUUAUAUUCUGGAAGCGUUUAUGUACGAUUCGUGUUGUAUUUUCAUUAAUUGCUUAGUAUAAUUUACCAGUGAUGCAAGCCAACAAGACUUAGAAAUUAUUUUGUGAGUUAAAAAAUAUGAAUUCACUUUCCUUAACUCAUAUAAAUGUAUUUGUAUUUCUUCUUGUGUAACUUUUGAUAUACUUUAUUUUUCUAGGAACUUGAUGAUUUCAUCUAAAUUUUAAAAUUUAUUGGCAUGAAAUAGUUUAUUGUAUCUUCUCAUGACUUUUUAACAUCU